GUUGAAUUUAUGCCACUUCAGGUGCUCCCAAUCCUUUCUCACAAAAAUAUUUCCUAAAUGGCAUUUGCCUAAAUAUCACCGUUGGAAAUUUUGUUCAUGCAUUUCCAUGGUGAUUUCUUUAGAGAACCGUGGUGAAAUUUUGUCAUAUGUAUAUAUACAGGGUUUUUCUUUUACUCUACGGUAGUUUUGGGGGCCCGCUUUUUCAGUUCGCCCGGGGCCUCUCAAAAGUCAGGGCCGGCCCUGAGCACUCUUCGCGGGUUCUCCACCGAAUCUCAAAAUCUUGUGAAGAAUAACAAGCCUGGAGCCAUGUCCGGGGCAAAUCCUGCGGCGGCUUCUCCACCAAUCAAUAAUGCACAAGCCACAUCUCCUCCACCAAUAUGGUCGCCUAGGAACAAAAUGUUCUUACCCCUUGCUGCUGGGUACGUAACGGCCUUAUUUGCAGGAAUCUCUGGAAUACUUUACUGGCGUUCCCAUGAAGAGCGGGGCCCUUUUUUCGAACCCAGGAAGAAGCAGAGUGAUUAACGAUCAGAUUUAUCAACCUUUUCGAUGCUUCGGAGAAAGCAGAAUGAUUGGACUUGUGGAUGUAUAUGGUUUAGUAGUACUUAGCUUCAUCGUCUGCUUUUUUUUAUUUCUCUGACUGUUGAACAAUGGUU